rnacentral:rRNA from 1 species
AUUGAACGCUGGCGGCAUGCUUUACACAUGCAAGUCGAACGGUAACAGGGACUUCGGUCUGCUGACGAGUGGCGAACGGGUGAGUAAUGCAUCGGAACGUACCGAGUAAUGGGGGAUAACGCAUCGAAAGGUGUGCUAAUACCGCAUACGCCCUGAGGGGGAAAGCGGGGGAUCGAAAGACCUCGCGUUAUUCGAGCGGCCGAUGCCGGAUUAGCUAGUUGGUGGGGUAAAGGCUCACCAAGGCGACGAUCCGUAGCAGGUCUGAGAGGAUGAUCUGCCACACUGGGACUGAGACACGGCCCAGACUCCUACGGGAGGCAGCAGUGGGGAAUUUUGGACAAUGGGGGCAACCCUGAUCCAGCCAUGCCGCGUGUCUGAAGAAGGCCUUCGGGUUGUAAAGGACUUUUGUCAGGGAGGAAAUCCCUAAGGUUAAUACCCUUGGGGGAUGACAGUACCUGAAGAAUAAGCACCGGCUAACUACGUG